GACGAACGCUGGCGGCGUGCUUAACACAUGCAAGUCGAACGAUGAAGAAAAGAAUUGAAGCUUCGGCAGAAAUUCAUUUCGGAUUAGAGGCAGACGGGUGAGUAACGCGUGAGCAACCUACCUCUUACAAAGGGAUAGCCUCGGGAAACCGGGAUUAAUACCAUAUAACAUUGCGACGAAGCAUUUCGAUGCAAUCAAAGCUACGGCGGUAAGAGAUGGGCUCGCGUCCCAUUAACCAGAUGGUGAGGUAACGGCUCACCAUAGUAACGAUGGGUAACCGGCCUGAGAGGGUGAACGGUCACACUGGAACUGAGACACGGUCCAGACUCCUACGGGAGGCAGCAGUGGGGAAUAUUGCACAAUGGAGGGAACUCUGAUGCAGCGACGCCGCGUGAGUGAUGAAGGAAUUCGUUUCGUAAAACUCUGUUCUAUGGGAAGAAAAGGACUGUACCAUAGGAGAAAGCUCCGGCUAAAUACGUG
rnacentral:rRNA from 1 species